ACAAAGGCUCUUUUCAGAGCCACCCACGCUUUCAACGGAAGAGCCU
rfam:Opisthocomus hoazin contig79991, whole genome shotgun sequence.